UGACCAAUCGCCGUUGUUGAGUC
rnacentral:siRNA from 1 species